rnacentral:lncRNA from 1 species
CUGUAGUGUUCAUAAUAUAAAAGUAACUAAUAAAAAUGGAAAUUACUGACAGUAUAACUGAACAAAUCUAUUGGCUAAAAAUAGAUGGCGUUGAGAAUUAAUUAGGAUAUUUUCGUUCAAAUUGACAAGUCAGGUGAAUAACCUCGACAAAUUCCCGGUGAAUAAACCUAUAACAAAAAUGUAUCUAUCGUCGGUGAAACCCCUGUUAAUUUUCCUCCAGCCAAAUUGUUGUCAAUAUUUCAAGUGAUCGGCAUAAUAAAAUAGUUACGACCCUGUGAGUCGGGAGAUAUUCGAAAAUAGUAUUCAUGUACUAUUUCUACAGUCAUAACUUUUUAUUUUGUAUAUCAUGCACCAAAUUUGAAAAUAAUUAUAUUCAUAUGCUC